AGGCAGCAGUGGGGAAUAUUGCACAAUGGGCGCAAGCCUGAUGCAGCCAUGCCGCGUGUAUGAAGAAGGCCUUCGGGUUGUAAAGUACUUUCAGCAGUGAGGAAGGUGGAUAUGUUAAUAGCAUAUUCAUUUGACGUUAGCUGCAGAAGAAGCACCGGCUAACUCCGUGCCAGCAGCCGCGGUAAUACGGAGGGUGCGAGCGUUAAUCGGAAUUACUGGGCGUAAAGCGCAUGCAGGUGGUUUGUUAAGUCAGAUGUGAAAGCCCCGGGGCUCAACCUCGGAAUUGCAUUUGAAACUGGCAAACUAGAGUACUGUAGAGGGGGUAGAAUUUCAGGUGUAGCGGUGAAAUGCGUAGAGAUCUGAAGGAAUACCGGUGGCGAAGGCGGCCCCCUGGACAGAUACUGACACUCAGAUGCGAAAGCGUGGGGAGCAAACAGGAUUAGAUACCCCUGGUAG
rnacentral:rRNA from 1 species